rnacentral:rRNA from 1 species
UUGACCUCGGAUCAGGUAGGGAUACCCGCUGAACUUAAGCAUAUCAAUAAGCGGAGGAAAAGAAACCAACAGGGAUUACCUCAGUAACGGCGAGUGAAGCGGUAAGAGCUCAAAUUUGAAAGCUGGCUCCUUCGGGGUCCGCAUUGUAAUUUGCAGAGGAUGUUUCGGGAGCAGCCCCCAUCUAAGUGUCCUGGAACGGACCGUCAUAGAGGGUGAGAAUCCCGUAUGGGAUGGGGUGUCUGCGCCCAUGUGAAACUCCUUCGACGAGUCGAGUUGUUUGGGAAUGCAGCUCUAAAUGGGUGGUAAAUUUCAUCUAAAGCUAAAUAUUGGCCGGAGACCGAUAGCGCACAAGUAGAGUGAUCGAAAGAUGAAAAGCACUUUGAAAAGAGAGUUAAAAAGCACGUGAAAUUGUUGAAAGGGAAGCGCUUGCGAUCAGACUCGCCUUGGGGGUUCAGCCGGCAUUCGUGCCGGUGUACUUCCCCCAGGGCGGGCCAGCGUCGGUUUGGGUGGCCGGUCAAAGGCCCUUGGAAUGUAACGCCUCUCGGGGCGUCUUAUAGCCAAGGGUGCCAUGCGGCCUACCUGGACCGAGGAACGCGCUUCGGCUCGGACGC